UUUGCAUAUUAACUGAACACUGCACUUAAAACCCUGCUGAUGAUUAUUAGUGUGUGACACCGACACGCAAACACAUCAAACAAUGAUUUAUCAUAUUAUAAUGCUGUGGACGCUUGCUCAAGUGUCUCACGGAGAGGUUCAGUCUCCUGAGUCUCUGUCUGUUAAAGCAGGAGAUUCUGUCUCUAUCAGCUGCACUGGGACCAGCGGAGUUGAUGAUGAUAUGAGCUGGUAUCUGCUGAAACCUGGAGAAGCUCCUAAACUCCUGAUCUAUGGUGGCAGUGAACUUGAAUCUGGAGUCUCAGAUCGGUUCAGUGGAAGUGGAUCAGAACCAGUUUUCACACUGAACAUCCGUGGAGUCCGGCCUGAGGAUGCAGGAGAUUAUUACUGUAUGGGGUAUUACGGUGGUGGAGUGUGGACACAGUGAAACAGCAU